rnacentral:rRNA from 1 species
GAUGAACGCUGGCGGCGUGCCUAAUACAUGCAAGUCGAGCGAACAGAUAAGGAGCUUGCUCCUUUGACGUUAGCGGCGGACGGGUGAGUAACACGUGGGUAUCCUACCUAUAAGACUGGAAUAACUCCGGGAAACCGGGGCUAAUGCCGGAUAACAUUUAGAACCGCAUGGUUCUAAAGUGAAAGAUGGUUUUGCUAUCACUUAUAGAUGGACCCGCGCCGUAUUAGCUAGUUGGUAAGGUAACGGCUUACCAAGGCAACGAUACGUAGCCGACCUGAGAGGGUGAUCGGCCACACUGGAACUGAGACACGGUCCAGACUCCUACGGGAGGCAGCAGUAGGGAAUCUUCCGCAAUGGGCGAAAGCCUGACGGAGCAACGCCGCGUGAGUGAUGAAGGUCUUCGGAUCGUAAAACUCUGUUAUUAGGGAAGAACAAAUGUGUAAGUAACUGUGCACGUCUUGACGGUACCUAAUCAGAAAGCCACGGCUAACUACGUG